rnacentral:sRNA from 1 species
AUAUCCGGUAGGUAAGGCUACCACAGGGAUAUGGAUUGCUACCGCGAAGUAGUGGAGACACUAUAAGAAGGUCAGAAGGUUUGGUCGAACGCAAGGCUUAACCUAACGCAGUUACACCGCCCUGUGAUGCUAAAGCCAGUAUG